rnacentral:misc_RNA from 1 species
UGGUUACCGCAUNGAUGAAGAACGCAGCAAAAUGCGAUAAGUAAUGUGAAUUGCAGAAUCUAGUGAAUCAUUGAAUCUUUGAACGCACAUUGCACUUGGGUCACCGCCCAAGUAUGCCUGUCCGAGCGUCAUUACUCCUCAACGGCAGCUUGCCGUCAGUGGGGCGUGUCCCUCACCGGAUGCUCCUCUAAGCCAUCGUCUGGAAGGUUAGCCUGUCUGCAGCCUGCAUCGUAGAAACAUUGCCGUCUGCACCGGUCACCUGAGAGACCAACCUUCACCUAGUUUGACCUCGGAUCAGGUAGGGAUACCCGCUGA